rnacentral:tRNA from 1 species
GCAUUGGUGGUUCAGUGGUAGAAUUAUCACCUUCCAGGUGGGAGGUGCUGGUUUGAUUCUCAGCCAAUGCA